CCUACGGGCGGCUGCAGUGGGGAAUAUUGGACAAUGGGGGGAACCCUGAUCCAGCGACGCCGCGUGAGUGAAGAAGUCUUUCUGUAUGUUAAGCUCUAUCAGCAGGGAAGUAAGAAAUGACGGUACCUGACUAAGAAGCCUCGGCUAACUACGUGCCAGCACCCGCUGGAAUACGUAGGGGGCAAGCGUUAGCCGGAUUUACUGGGUGUAAAGGGAGCUUAGACGGGGAUGCAAGUCUGAAGUGAAAGGCGGGGGCCCAACCCCUAGAUUGCGUUGGAAACUGGAUGGCUGGAGUGCAGGAGAGGUAAGGGGAAUUCCUAGUGUAGCGGUGAAAUGCGUAGAUAUUAGGAGGAACCCCAGUGGCGAAGGCGGCCUGCUGGACAGUAACUGACGUUGAGGCUCGAAAGCGUGGGGAGCAAACAGGAUUAGAUACCCGGGUAGUC
rnacentral:rRNA from 1 species